rnacentral:rRNA from 1 species
CCUACGGGCGGCUGCAGUGGGGAAUAUUGGACAAUGGGGGGAACCCUGAUCCAGCCAUGCCGCGUGUGUGAAGAAGGCCCUCGGGUUGUAAAGCACUUUCAGUGAGGAAGAACGCCUGGUGGUUAAUACCCAUCAGGAAAGACAUCACUCACAGAAGAAGCACCGGCUAACUCCGUGCCAGCAGCCGCGGUAAUACGGAGGGUGCGCGCGUUAAUCGGAAUUACUGGGCGUAAAGCGCGCGUAGGUGGCUUGAUAAGCCGGUUGUGAAAGCCCCGGGCUCAACCUGGGAACGGCAUCCGGAACUGUCAAGCUAGAGUGCAGGAGAGGAAGGUAGAAUUCCCGGUGUAGCGGUGAAAUGCGUAGAGAUCGGGAGGAAUACCAGUGGCGAAGGCGGCCUUCUGGACUGACACUGACACUGAGGUGCGAAAGCGUGGGUAGCAAACAGGAUUAGAUACCCCGGUAGUC